UACAGAGGUCUCAAGCGUUGUUCGGAUUCAUUGGGCGUAAAGGGUGCGUAGGUGGCGCCGUAAGUCAGGUGUGAAAUCUCGGGGCUCAACCCCGAAACUGCACUUGAUACUGCGGUGCUCGAGUACUGGAGAGGAGAUUGGAAUUUACGGUGUAGCAGUGAAAUGCGUAGAUAUCGUAAGGAAGACCAGUGGCGAAGGCGGCUACCUGGACCGGUUCUGACGCUGAGGCGCGAAAGCGUGGGUAGCAAACAGG
rnacentral:rRNA from 1 species